GACGAACGCUGGCGGCGUGCUUAACACAUGCAAGUCGAACGGAAAGGCCCUGCUUUUGUGGGGUGCUCGAGUGGCGAACGGGUGAGUAACACGUGAGUAACCUGCCCUUGACUUUGGGAUAACUUCAGGAAACUGGGGCUCAUACCGGAUAGGAGCUCCUGCUGCAUGGUGGGGGUUGGAAAGUUUCGGCGGUUGGGGAUGGACUCGCGGCUUAUCAGCUUGUUGGUGGGGUAGUGGCUUACCAAGGCUUUGACGGGUAGCCGGCCUGAGAGGGUGACCGGCCACAGUGGGACUGAGAUACGGCGCAGACUCCUACGGGAGGCAGCAGUGGGGAAUAUUGCACAAUGGGCGGAAGCCUGAUGCAGCAACGCCGCGUGCGGGAUGACGGCCUUCGGGUUGUAAACCGCUUUCGCCUGUAACGAAGCGUGAGUGACGGUAAUGGGUAAAGAAGCACCGGCUAACUACGUG
rnacentral:rRNA from 1 species